GGACAGUGGGGCGCCUCUCAAACUCGGGCCCCGGCGGCGUCCAGGGGUGCGGAGGAAUGCGUUACUGUCCCCGCUUAUGACUCCUGCCGUGGCAGGCAACUACUGUUUCACUUCCCUGAAGAAGCUCAUAAUAUUAUAAUUCAAGUGUCAGGACAGAUUAGGUUAAACGAACUGUGUAAUUCCCGAAGGAAAACAAACUUCAAAACGGACGCGGUUUGCCACGUAACAUGUCAUGGAUUGCAUUAGCGUCGCACGGGCAAUUCCAUCACCUAAUGUGCUAAAGUUGGCUCAAAUGUUCCCCACUCUGCAAGAAGCAGAUGAGUUCAUUACGAUUUCACCCUAAUAAAGAAAACCUGCUUGAUUUUGACAAGACAUCGACUUAUCUAAUCGUCUCCUAAAUAACAAAGCUGCUUCCCGCCCGUAAAACACUGCUCCCGAACACCGGCUUU
rnacentral:lncRNA from 1 species